GGAAGGGGACAGAGGGGGGGAGAGGUGCGCAGGACGGGGACCGCUUUUAGAUGCUCCGCUGUCAGAUCCGACUGAUAAGUGCGCACGGUGCGGUUUAAUUACAUGCGAACGGACGCAGCGGACCAAAGAAGAUCAUGGGCUCAGUUACUUUCUCUUAAUGUAAUUUAACUUUUUUUUUUCCUCCCCCAAAUAACAGAAGGAAGCCUAUAUUGAGAAAAAGGUCACAUCUACUCCACAGGUCCGUGCGCACUGAGCGGCUGCUGGUGUCUCCUCCGUUGUGAGAGCGCAGCGCUGACAGAUGAUGGCCAUGCAGCAGGCUCGCUGGAUGAGAUAGCGGGCAGCCUGUUGCGGACCGAGAAGGGGGUUCAAGGCGCAGCUCCAGCGCCCAGACGCCCCGCAGUGGCCAGUAGCUGACUCAGCCGGGGGACAGAUUCAAGUUCGAGAGCGCCUGGAAACCGCGUCUGUCGUCGAUUUAAUCAGACAAAUAUUCAACAGGGAGGAUUUAUGAAGCUUUAGGAAGGACUGUAAGGAGCCGGGCUGCGUUCAGGAGGGACGUAUCUAACGAAAAAAAUGUGAUGGGAAGAGGGUGUAUCAUUUGCAGGACCUCUGGGGUGAAUUUAUAGACAUGUUGGCAUGAUUUAUUAAUAAAAAUAAAAUAAAAAAAUCCUAAUUUUGGAAUGUAAAGUGGAUUAAUCCUUGCAUUAGGUAUGUAUCUGUGUGUUGUAAAAGUUUUUUCAUGUAGAGCAGAGUCUAAGUGUCAUAAAAUAUUAUAAAAUCUUUUUUUUAAUGAUUCUAAA